ensembl:misc_RNA
UCCUGGGACCUUGCUGCCCUCCUCCUUUGUCACUGUGGAGAAACAGGAAGGAAUGUUUAUUAGCCAGACUGACUGGGGUCACACCCAAGGCAAUAUCAGGUUUUUACCUCUCAUGGGCCUGGGAAGAGGUUCAAGGAUCAAGGACAAGGU